rnacentral:rRNA from 1 species
GACGAACGCUGGCGGCGUGCCUAAUACAUGCCAGUUGAGCGCUGAAGGUUGGUACUUGUACCAACUGGAUGAGCAGCGAACGGGUGAGUAACGCGUGGGGAAUCUGCCUUUGAGCGGGGGACAACAUUUGGAAACGAAUGCUAAUACCGCAUAAAAACUUUAAACACAAGUUUUAAGUUUGAAAGAUGCAAUUGCAUCACUCAAAGAUGAUCCCGCGUUGUAUUAGCUAGUUGGUGAGGUAAAGGCUCACCAAGGCGAUGAUACAUAGCCGACCUGAGAGGGUGAUCGGCCACAUUGGGACUGAGACACGGCCCAAACUCCUACGGGAGGCAGCAGUAGAGAAUCUUCGGCAAUGGACGAAAGUCUGACCGAGCAACGCCGCGUGAGUGAAGAAGGUUUUCGGAUCGUAAAACUCUGUUGGUAGAGAAGAACGUUGGUGAGAGUGGAAAGCUCAUCAAGUGACGGUAACUACCCAGAAAGGGACGGCUAACUACGUG